rnacentral:misc_RNA from 1 species
ACUUCCACCUGGCUUACCUCCNUCAUUUAUGCGUCAUGACUUGUAUCGUCUUGAGCGUAUUGUGGGUUUCCUGUGUUGCAUACCUUUCUAAUGGUAUCGUUUUGAUUGAUCGAAGUCCCUUUUCAUCUUGUGUUGCUUUUUGCGACGCAUGAUGAACCUCGAGGCGGUCUCUAUGUUCCACUACGUUGAUGCUACUGUUUCGAUGUUGUGGCCCAUUGAGCGUUGCUUGGUUUUGUGGAUACAGAACAUGAUUUGGGCAUAGGGUUACUUGUGACUCUUGUUCUGUCCUUUAUCAGUGUUCUUUAUAACGACGGUUCAUGCGCGCCUAGGCUCGUACCUGCGCGAUGUUCUUUGUCGAAGAGGAAUGCUACCUGGUUGAUCCUGCCAGUAGUCAUAUGCUUGUCUCAAAGAUUAAGCCAUGCAUGUGUAAGU